UUGAAAAAAAAAAUAAAUAAAUCCCCUUUUUUCACGCCUGAUUUCGCCCUUGCCACCCCCAACGGCCAAGCACAAACCUUCAAAUUGAGUAAACUAGGGUUUUGAAUUCAGAUUUCAAUUCCAAUGGCAUCAAACGAUCAUCUCGACGACGACGAUGAUUUUGGAGGCGAUUUCUCAGGAGGCAACAGCUCGAGGCGGCCAGCUAAUAAGAGAAGCUUUGGAGAUCUUGACGAUGAUGAAGACGAUAUUUUUGGUUC